rnacentral:snRNA from 17 species
GUACUGACCUGGCAGGAGAGCUCUAAGACCAGGAAGAUGGUUUUCCCAAGGUGAGCCUCAUCCCUUGCCCUCUGGCUGUGUCGACCCCUGUGCUUUCCCCAAAUGCGGGCAACUCAGCAGCAUCACUGUGCUGUGGCCUUGGGAGAAUGGCAUCUCUGUUGUUCCCGA